GCGGGUGUGGUGGAAUUGGCAGACACGCUAGACUUAGGAUCUAGUGCCGCAAGGCGUGGGGGUUCGACUCCCUUCACCCGCAC
rnacentral:tRNA from 2 species